rnacentral:snRNA from 1 species
GUCCCUUCGGGGACAUCCGAUAAAAUUGUAACGAUACAGAGAAGAUUAGCAUGGCCAUGACAUGCAUAAAUCGAGAAAAGAGGAUGGCAGUG